GACAGAGGGUGCAAACGUUGUUCGGAAUUACUGGGCGUAAAGCGCGUGUAGGCUGCUCGGAAAGUCGGAUGUGAAAGCCCUGGGCUCAACCUAGGAAGUGCAUUCGAAACUUCCGAGCUGGAGUGCUGGAGAGGAAGGCGGAAUUCUCGGUGUAGAGGUGAAAUUCGUAGAUAUCGAGCGGAAUACCGGUGGCGAAGGCGGCAUCCUGGACCGGCAUUGACGCUGAGGAGCGAAAGCCAGGGGAGCAAACGGG
rnacentral:rRNA from 1 species